UGGGUAAUCUUGUGAAACUUCAUCGUGAUGGGGAUAGAGCAUUGCAAUUAUUGCUCUUCAACGAGGAAUCCCUAGUAAGCAUGAGUCAUCAGCUCAUGUUGAUUACGUCCCUGCCCUUUGUACACACCGCCCGUCGCUACUACCGAUUGAAUGGCUUAGUGAGACCUUUGGAUUGGGGUUUAAGAAUCGGCAACGAAUUUUAUUCUCCGAGAAGUCGGUCAAACUUGGUCAUUUAGAGGAAGUAAAAGUCGUAACAAGGUUUCCGUAGGUGAACCUGCGGAAGGAUCAUUAAAAACUUUUAUCCGGGAAUUCGUUUCGUUUUCCCGGAUUAUUUGUAUUCAAAUCCCACUCUUUAUAAAUAAUAUCAAUUAUAUAAACAAAUAUAAAAAAAGAAAACUUUCAACAACGGAUCUCUUGGCUCUCGCAUCGA
rnacentral:rRNA from 1 species